rnacentral:rRNA from 1 species
AAAGGUGAAAAGAACCCCGGGAGGGGAGUGAAAUAGAACAUGAAAUCGUAAGUUUACAAGCAGUAGAAGAGCGACUUAACGCUCGACUUCGUGCCUGUUGAAGAAUGAGCUGGCGACUUGUAGGUUGUGGCAAGAUUAAGAUAAGAAAAUAUCGAAGUCAUAGUGAAAGCGAGCCUGAAUAGGGCUUUAAGUCAUAAUUUACAGACCCGAACCCGGAUGAUCUAACCAUGGCCAGUGUGAAGCUUAGGUAACACUAAGUGGAGGUACCAACCGACUGUUGUUGAAAAAACAGCGGAUGAGUUGUGGUUAGGGGUGAAAUUCCAAUCGAAUCCGGAGCUAGCUGGAUCUCCCCGAAAUGCGUUGAGGCGCAGCGGUUAAUGUUUUUUCUUAGGGGUAAAGCUACUGUUUUGGUGCGGGCUGCGAGAGUGGUACCAAAUCAAGGCAAACUCUGAAUACUAAGACAUUUAGUUAACCAGUGAGACGUUGGGGGAUAAGCUUCAAUGUCAAGAGGGAAACAGCCCAGAUUACUAGUUAAGGCCCCUAAAUAAUUGCUAAGUGGUAAAGGAGGUGGGAUUGCAUAGACAAUCAGGAGGUUUGCCCAGAAGCAGCAAUCCUUUAAAGAGUGCGUAAUAGCUCACUGUUCGAGUGAUCCUGCGCCGAAAAUGACUGGGACUAAGCAAUUUGCCGAAACUGUAAGAUGUUUAAACAUCGGUAGGGGAGCGUUCUACAUUAGUGAGAAGAAUUAACGAAAGUGGGUUUGGACAAAGUAGAAGUGAGAAUGUCAGCUUGAGUAGCGAAAACAUUGGUGAGAAUCCAAUGCCCCGAAAACCUAAGGGUUCCUCCGGAAGGCUCGUCCGCGGAGGGUGAGUCAGGUCCUAAGGUAAGGCUGAAAAGCGUAGUCGAUGGAUAACAGGUUAAUAUUCCUGUACUGUUUAUUGUUGGUAAAGGGGGACGGAGAAGGCUAGGUCGACCGAAUGUUGGUUAUCGGCUUAAGUAUUCGAGGUGUUGAGAAGCGGUGAAAACGUUUUGAGCUGAGAUAUGAAUAGGAGGUGCUAAGGCACUGAACCGACUGAUGUCAUACUUCCAAGAAAAGCCCUAACUACCAUAAGCAAUAAAUACCUGUACCCUAAACCGACACAGGUGGGUAAGUAGAGUAUACUAAGGGGCGCGAGAUAACUCUCUCUAAGGAACUCGGCAAAAUAGCCUCGUAACUUCGGGAGAAGAGGUACCCUUUAUGGGUUGCAAGAACCAGACGCUGGCGACUGUUUACCAAAAACACAGGUCUCCGCAAAGUCGUAAGACGAUAUAUGGGGGCUGACACCUGCCCAGUGCCGGAAGGUUAAGGGAGCUUGUUAGUCUUUGACGAAGCUCGUGACCGAAGCCCCGGUGAACGGCGGCCGUAACUAUAACGGUCCUAAGGUAGCGAAAUUCCUUGUCGGGUAAGUUCCGACCCGCACGAAAGGUGUAACGAUCUGCGUACUGUCUCGGAGAGAGACUCGGCGAAAUAGACUUGUCUGUGAAGAUGCGGACUACCUGCACCUGGACAAAAAGACCCUAUGAAGCUUUACUGUAGCUUGAUAUUGGCUCCGGGCUUUGUUUGCGCAGGAUAGGUGGGAGGCGUUGAAAGUUUUCUUGCGGGAAGAUUUGAGCCGUUGGUGAGAUACCACUCUAACAAUGCUAGGAUUCUAACCCUAUGUCGUUAUCCGGCUAGGGGACAGUUUCAGGUGGUCAGUUUGACUGGGGCGGUCGCCUCCUAAAAGGUAACGGAGGCGUGCAAAGGUUCCCUCAGGCUGGUUGGAAAUCAGUCGUAGAGUGUAAAGGCAUAAGGGAGCUUGAUUGUGAGACAUACAAGUCGAACAAAGACGAAAGUCGGCCUUAGUGAUCCGGCGGU